rnacentral:rRNA from 1 species
CGAACGCUGGCGGCAUGCUUAACACAUGCAAGUCCGAACGAGAAAGUUUCUUCGGAAGUGAGUAAAGUGGCGCACGGGUGAGUAACGCGUAGAUAACCUAGCCUUAAGUCUGGGAUAACCCUGCGAAAGGAGGGCUAAUACCGGAUGAUACCUUUAAAUGAGUGUUUGAGGGUUGAAAGUGUAAGCGCUUAAGGAUGGGUCUGCGUCCCAUUAGCUAGUUGGUGAGGUAAGAGCUUACCAAGGCGACGAUGGGUAGCGGGUCUGAGAGGAUGGUCCGCCACACUGGCACUGAGACACGGGCCAGACUCCUACGGGAGGCAGCAGUGGGGAAUAUUGCGCAAUGGGGGCAACCCUGACGCAGCAAUGCCGCGUGAGUGAAGAAGGCCUUCGGGUCGUAAAGCUCUUUAUCUCAGGGAAGAUACUGACGGUACCUGAGGAAUAAGCACCGGCUAACUACGUGCCAGCAGCCGCGGUAAU